GACGAACGCUGGCGGCGUGCUUAACACAUGCAAGUCGACCGUGGAACGGGGGGCUUGCCCCCUCCGGAUUCGUUGUCAACGGGUUGAUUACCCGGUAGGCAAUUUCCCCGAACCUCGGGAUUAGCGUUUGGAACGACGUUCAAUACCGGAUUCCGCCCCGGGGGGGCACCCUCUCCCCUUGAAAGAAAUUCCGGUUCGGGAUGAGCCCGCGGCCUAUCAGCUUGUUGGUGAGGUAACGGCUCACCAAGGCGACGACGGGUAGCGGGCCUGAGAGGGUGACCGGCCACACUGGGACUGAGACACGGCCCAGACUCCUACGGGAGGCAGCAGUGGGGAAUAUUGCACAAUGGGCGCAAGCCUGAUGCAGCAACGCCGCGUGAGGGACGACGGCCUUCGGGUUGUAAACCUCUUUUAGCAGGGAAGAAGCGAAAGUGACGGUACCUGCAGAAAAAGCACCGGCUAACUACGUG
rnacentral:rRNA from 1 species